GACGAACGCUGGCGGCGUGCUUAACACAUGCAAGUCGAACGGAAAGGCCCUGCUUUUGUGGGGUGCUCGAGUGGCGAACGGGUGCGUAACACGUGAGCAACCUGCUCUUGUCUUUGGGAUAACUUCAGGAAACUGGGGUUAAUAUCGUACAGGAGCUCCUGCUGCAUGGUGGGGGUUGGAAAGUUUCGGCGGUUGGGGAUGGACUCGCGGCUUACCAGCUUGUUGGUGGGGUAGUGGCUUACCAAGGCUUUGACGGGUAGCCGGCCUGGGAGGGUGACCGGCCACAUUGGGACUGAGAUACGGCCCAGACUCCUACGGGAGGCAGCAGUGGGGAAUAUUGCACAAUGGGCGGGAGCCUGAUGCAGCAACGCCGCGGGCGGGAUGACGGCCUUCGGGGUGUAAACCGCUUUCGCCUGUGACGAAGCGGGAGUGACGGUAAUGGGUGAAGAAGCACCGGCUAACUACGUG
rnacentral:rRNA from 1 species